AGAUUGAACAGGACAGAUGAUUACAGCAAAAUUUCUUUCAACAUAUAUAUGGGCACCUGAAUAUUAUCUUAAAACAGACUUGAAAAAUUGUGAACCUAUCCUUUAAACACAUUUUAAUAACAAUUUACUGUAAUCAACUUUUCUAAGUUGAUUACAGUUCUAAGUUACUGUAAAACACACCCACAUCCUGAGAUAUUUGAAUGUAUGCAUAUAAAAACAGAUAAUUGGACAGAUACAAAGCGUGACAUCCCUGCACAGCCCACAGGAGACAAUGAGUCUGUUAAAGAUCCCACUAAUGGAGCUCUGAAGCCUCAGUAAUGACAGAUGCCUGUUAAGCAACUGGAGUCAAACAUGCACACACAACCAGUAUGUACACACACACACACACACACACACACACACAUUUUCUCAUCUCCUGACACUCAAAACACUCAUCUGACACUCAAACGCUGCCGACUGACAGCUAAGACACGCUUCUCUGACAGAUCAAACCUGAUUUACAAUGCAUGCAUGCUGUGUGUGUGUGUGUGUGUGUGUGUGUGUGUGUGUGUGUGUGUCAUUCUGUGAGGAAGAGACGAGCCAAGGGAGUUAGGGGUCAGAAUUGUAAAUUUGAAAGUGUCACAUACCAUGUCAUUUAUCUAUCCAGCACGCCCUCCUCUCCAAACACACACACACACAAGGUAACACAAAGAGUAUCCACCCCCACCCAUUCAUUUCCAUCUUUAGGAUAAUCAGUCAGCUCAUUCUGUCUUAUUUUCCUCUUUUCCUUUGUUCCUUUCCAUUUGUGGACUGCAUCACUGUCAUCCCUUAGUUGUUAAACAUUGGAGUCACUCCUGCAGACAAUAUGUCCCAACAACCAGACAGGUAACAAUAGCUGACACCUUUGUGCCACACUGCGGUCUACACUGAAGACAACCCAGACUUAAAAAUACAAAUAUGUCCAUAUACAGAACCAGUCAAAAGCACUGGUACUGUACAUAGAAUUUGCAUUAACAAAUAUAUUUAUAAGAAACAUAAUUUAGUAGUAUCUUCUCUUUCUUAAUUAACAUUUAAUGGUUAAGCUUAGGUUAUUCAAAGCACUUGGUUAAGGUUGGAUGGAUUUAUCGACACCUUGACACACUUUUUCACACCCAGAAGUCACUGUGUCACUGCGCUGCUGUGUAUCUGUAUCUCUGUAUUUCUUGGCUUUUCGACAGUCUUUUUCCUCAAAACAAUUGAUUUUGGAUUUCGGACCUCAGAUUAUUUGGAUUUGGAUAUAUUUUGGCUUUGACCAAAGCCUGGACUGCAACGACUAUUCAAGAACAUGGAUCUGAGCAAACAAUGCUGGUGAGCCUGCUUAGCCUAGUUAGCUUAGCUUGGCUGCCUGGCCCAGCUGUGUUGAUAUUGGUGGCUACUGUGUUGAUACUGUGACUCUGUUUGGUCUUUCAUGCAUGCAUUGCACUAAGCAAACAAAAUGCCACCAAAAAAGACUCCAGAUGAGGAAGUUGAGGAUUGAGAUUGUCCUCUUGGAGUGCCGAAUGGCAGACUUGGAGCAGUACUCCUGCAUGAACGACUUAAUUGUUGGUGGGUUGGAGUCAAGGCCCAAGUCAAAUGUGAGGGCUGCGGUAGCGGAGGUUGGAGAGCCCACCGUACCUGAACUGGACUCCCUUGAGCAACAGGUGAUUGAUUUCUUUAAUAACAAAGGCAUAUCUGUGGACAGCAACGAUAUCGAGGCGUGUCAUCCUCUCCCCAGAAAAAAAAGGGAGAGACCUGCCCUGAUAAUUCCCUUUGUGAACAGAAAACAAAAAAACGCACUGCUCAGACAAGAGAGAAAGCUCAAUGGAUCCAAUGUCUAUGUGAAUGAGCACCUAACAAAGAAAAACGUUUGCAUUGCCAGAAGGACACGCUUCUUGAGAAAACAAAACAAGCUCCAAUGGAUGUGGACAGCAAACUGCAAGCUAUUCAUAAAACUGAAUGGGUCACCAGAGAAGGCAAAAAUGCUGGUCAUCAGGGAGAGUGCAAAAUUGGACAAGUACCAGUGAUGACAACUACUGGGAGAGCAGCACACAAAGGGAUUUCAACAUUGAUUUGUUAAAUCCAACUCCACAAAUGAUAAGAAUAAUGAAUAAGAAAGUAGUAUGUGGACUACUAACGGAUGACACGGUGACCAUCUGCCCAUCUUUGCAAUCAUUCAGAGCUGUACAAGGACCAACAAGAACGUUAAAACUUACAAAGACACAAAACACGAGACGUAAUUAACUCUUUUAAAGAAGACCUAAUGAAACAAGAUUGGAUUAAAGUCUAAGUGGAAGAUGUAA